UACGAAGGGGGCUAGCGUUGCUCGGAAUUACUGGGCGUAAAGGGCGCGUAGGCGGCCUGUUAAGUCGGACGUGAAAUCCCCGGGCUCAACCCGGGAACUGCGUCCGAUACUGGCAGGCUUGAAUCCGGGAGAGGGAUGUGGAAUUCCAGGUGUAGCGGUGAAAUGCGUAGAUAUCUGGAGGAACACCGGUGGCGAAGGCGGCAUCCUGGACCGGCAUUGACGCUGAGGCGCGAAAGCCAGGGGAGCAAACGGG
rnacentral:rRNA from 1 species